UUUCCGUAGGUGAACCUGCGGAAGGAUCAUCACAGGAAAAAAUUCUUUUUUUUCUAUAGACUUACACCCCUUUGUGCUCCUUGUUCGAGGUCUGUAACAGGGCCUCGUUCAACCUUUUUAAAAAACAACCUUUUAAACAUUUUAAUUUAAAUACACCUUUAUAAAUAACCAAAAGACAACUUUUAACAACGGAUCUCUUGGCUCUC
rnacentral:misc_RNA from 1 species